CAGUAGCCGCGGGAAAACAGAGGGUGCGAGCGUUAAUCGGAUUUACUGGGCGUAAAGCGUGCGUAGGCGGCUUCUUAAGUCGGAUGUGAAAUCCCUGAGCUUAACUUAGGAAUUGCAUUCGAUACUGGGAAGCUAGAGUAUGGGAGAGGAUGGUAGAAUUCCAGGUGUAGCGGUGAAAUGCGUAGAGAUCUGGAGGAAUACCGAUGGCGAAGGCAGCCAUCUGGCCUAAUACUGACGCUGAGGUACGAAAGCAUGGGGAGCAAACAGGAUUAGAGACCCGAGUAGUCCCUGUCUCUUAUAC
rnacentral:rRNA from 1 species